rnacentral:lncRNA from 1 species
AGGAGUCCUCCAGGUCAGGUCUGAGGACCUUCAGGUCAGGUCUGAAGACCUCCAGGUCAGGUCUACCGCAGGUCUGAGGACCUCCAGGUCAGGUCUGAAGACCUCCAGGUCAGGUCUGCCGCAGGUCUGAGGACCUCCAGGUCAGGUCUGAAGACCUCCAGGUCAGGUCUGAGGACCUCCAGGUCAGGUCUGAAGACCUCCAGGUCAGCUCUACCGCAGGUCUGAGGACCGUGAUCCUGGAUUUAUUUUCAAUUCAAACAUGAUGGAGUCCAGAAACCAACAAACAAACUCCUUUAAGAGAGAGAGAGGGUGAAGUUAGCAGCUGUUUCCAGGCUGUUUUCCAGGUUUCUGCCUGUUUUUAUAUUCUACAGAUUUAUUCUAAUUUGGGCUUUUAAUUUGAAAACAGGACGUGUCUUUUGGGGCUUUUACUUUGACAACUUCCUGCUGCAGGAAAUAACAUUACAGCAGUGGGGGUAAAAUGAUGUCAGUCUGUGGUGGUCACACGUGGAGCUCUCUGUCCGACCGUCCACACACACACACACACUCUCUGCACAUGUGUGUGUGUGUGUGUGUGUGUGUGUGUGACUGUAGGCCUUUACACUCAACAUGUGACUCCAGAUACAUUUCAACACAGUUAUGUAACUCUUAUCCUCUCUCUCUCUCUCUCUCUCUCUCUCUCUCUCUCUCUCUCUCUCUCUCUCUCUCACACACACACACACACACACACACACACACACACACACACAGAGUACAGUAAAUAUCCACGUACAGUGUGACAUGAUAUUGUCCGGUUACAUAAUUUGAGGAUUGACAAACUCAGCUCAGUCUGUAGAUUAAAUCAUCUGUUCUGUCGUCUCAAACAGCUGAUCUUUGUUAUUGUUGUACAUAUAAGAACAGAAACUGGUCUGUAGUCAGUCUGUAGUCAGUCUGUAGUCAGUCUGUAGUCAGUCUGUAGUAACAGUGUCAUGAUCACAGUAUUUUGGCCUCCUAUAAACAAACAUAGACUUUAACACAUGAGGGUCGACACUAUCAAACACAUCCUUUGGUUCAGUCUUAUAUCAAACCAUGUUGUACGGUAUCACAUCACAUCAAUCACUCCAUUUUUAUUUGUCUUUAUUUAUACAGCGCCAGUUCACAUCACACGUUCUCCUGAAACGUUUCUUAGAAAAGCUGAUCGAGUUUUUUUUCUCCGCUCACAAAGACCUGAUGGAGAGACUGGAUCAGACCCGUCCUGGAAGUUCAGACCCACUCUGAUCCAUCUCCAUCCACCAUGUCAUCGCUAAAGUCAGGACCAGGCCUUCAGAGCAGCAGUGAAGCGCGCACACACACACACACACUAAGGUAGGGUUAAUCUGGUGUGACCUGACACAGCAUCGAUCGACCACUCUUCAUCUUUCAGACGCUGCAGGAGGCUGCAGCUCCAAGCUCUUUUAAUUACAGAUGAAUGGGAUUAUGUGGUUUCAACUCCUUACACACACACACACACACACACACACACACACACACACACACACACACACACACACAGGUGAAGUCAAAGGCUGACUCACUGAGAUUAGAGUAAAACCAUUAUUCUGAGCUUUCAGUAAAUAUCAGAUAGCAGCUCGUCUUGACCUCUGUGGAAGUUUCUGUCUCGUCUCACUGGUCCCUAAACGUGUCUGAGUCUCCUGAAGAUAAACUCUAACAGCAAAAUUAAACCCUCCUUCAUUUAGGAGCCCUGCAGAACUCCAGGGUUUGGGUUUCAUUCAGCUUCUUCCAUCUGCUAAUACUCUGUUGCUUUGGCUGUUUCAGAGGCUUCUGCGUCAAGGGGAAAUGCUGAGGUUGCUCUUUAUGUCUCUGCCCGGGCGGCCUUUGUUUAAUUCUACACCAGUGCGAUGUUCAGCCGUCAGCCCGCUGAACAAUGUUUAACCCGACUGGAGAAUGAGACUGUAGAGGCGUGACCCAUUUCCUGUCAGCAGCUUCUCUGCCAACUGUGUCACAGCCCAGACAGUCAGCAGUAACAGAGCAGCAGUCCUCUAACUAACCUGACACUAACUUUACAACUAAAGAGGAUUUUAGAGACGUUAAUUAUCACUGUGAGAGUGAACACAGGGUCCUCUAAACUGACACUAACUUUACAACUAAAGAGGAUUUUAGAGACGUUAGUUAUCACUGUGAUAAAAGUUUAAUCAAACUAAACGAUGACAUUUUUAUCAUUCUGUACCAUGACGUUUUUUACUUACUAUCCUAUAACAUUUUUUAACAUCCUAUACACGGACAUUUUUGUCAUACUCAAAAGUGA